CCAAAUUUCUCCCAGUUUUCAUCAAUUUUCGCCCUUUUCCCCCCAGGUGUCCCUAAACCCUAAAAUUUCCCCAAUUUUCUCUCAAUUUUCACAAAUUUUCCACCAAAUUUUCUCCAAAAUUUCUCCAGUUUUCUCUCAAUUUUCCCCCAAUUUUCUCCAAUUUUCAUCAAAUUUCUCCCAUUUUUUUUCAAUUUUCUCCCAAUUUUCACCAAUUUCCAUAAACUUUUCCCAAUUUCCCCCAAUUUUCCCAAAACUUUUCCCCAAUUUUCACCAACUUUCUCCCAAUUUUCCCAAUUUUCACAAUUUUUUUCCCAAUUUUAUCCCAAUUUUCAGCAAUUUCCAUCAAUUUUCCACCCAAUUUUCACAAAUUUUCACCAAUUUUCUCCCAAUUUUAACCCAUUUUUGCCCCAUCAUCAAUUUUCUCCCAAAUUCCUCCCAACUUUCACCAAUUUUCCCCAAUUUCCUCCAAAUUUCCACCAAUUUUUACAAAUUUUCUCCCAAUUUUGGUCCCAAUUUUCUCCCAAUUUUUCCCAAUUUUCCCCAAAUUCUCCCCAAUUUUCUCCAAAUUUUCACCAAAUUUCCAUCAAUUUUCCCCAAUUUUUCCCAAAUCUCUCCCAAUUUUCACUCAAUUUCCACCAAUUUUCUCGAAUUUUCUCCAAAUUUCCACCAAUUUUCAUCAAUUUUCUCCCAAUUUUCUUUCAUUUUCCACCAAUUCCCUUCCAAUUUUCCCCCAAUUUUGGCCCCAAUUUCCAUCAAAUUUCGCCCAUUUUUUUUUCCAAAUUUCCCCCAAUUUCCACCAAUUU
rnacentral:lncRNA from 1 species